UAAUGAUGCAAUGAUGAUGAAUGUUAAUCCCAGCUCAUUAUGAGACCUCCCAUUGGAAGGUCAGGGACAAAACCAUACAACACAAUUUAUCUGAGCAAAUUC